CUACGUAGGGAGCAAGCGUUGUCCGGAUUUACUGGGUGUAAAGGGCGCGUAGGCGGACUUGUUAGUCAGAGGUGAAAUCCUGCGGCUUAACCGUAGAACUGCCUUUGAUACUGCAAGUCUUGAGUUCGGAAGAGAGAGAUGGAAUUCCAGGUGUAGUGGUGAAAUACGUAGAUAUCUAGAAGAACACCAGUGGCGAAGGCGGUCUCUUGGUCCGUAACUGACGCUGAGGCGCGAAAGCGUGGGGAGCAAACAGGAUUAGAUACCCUAGUAGUCC
rnacentral:rRNA from 1 species